rnacentral:lncRNA from 1 species
UUUUUGGAAAAAUUACAAACCUUAGCCAAUUUUAAAGAAAAAAUAAUGUUCAUGCCUUGUAUUAAAGAUAUGAGAAUAUUAUAAUUUCAAGGGUUUACAAAAAUGAUAAAUUUUGGGAGUAAGAAACAUUUUGAAAAAGUGCAAAACCAAGUAGUAAAUGGUGAUUAUGAUCAAAAAGAAAAAGAAUGUACUUUGAAAAAAAAUGUCAAA